AAUAUGAAGAUCACUAAAUAAAUUUAUGUAAAUCUCAAUCUCAUUUUUUAUAUCAGAAAUUAAUGGCAUCACUUAAAGUUGAAAAACCAGUAGGCACUCAGCUGUUUGGGCAAGCCAAAAAGGAGCCUGCACCAAAGGCUAGCGAUGGUCACUCUAAGGCUUCAGGUUCCAAGUCAUCAACUUCCAGGAAACCUGCAGCUCCAAAAGAACCCAAGAAGAAGGGGAAAGGAGGCAAAUCAGGGAAGAACUGAUUAUGGAAUAUUGCAGAGUAAUCCAUGUGAAGGAAACAUAUAAGACAUGGGUUAUUAAAAAUUAUGUUUAAUGUUUUAGUAUUUUCACUCGAAAAAUCAUGUUCUAUGGCAUUGAUCUUUAGAUCUACUAAAAUAAAACUUUGUAUUUGACAUUAUCUUUCAAUUAAUCUAUGUUUACUUCAA